rnacentral:other from 1 species
AGCAAAUUGCGUGCAAUGUAAACACUAUCUCGAUUCAGGAGAGGCUAUGUCUCAAGCAACAGGCACCGUUAAGUGGUUUAACGACGAUAAAGGUUACGGCUUCAUCAGCCAGGACAACGGUGGCGGUGACGUAUUCGUUCACUUCCGCGCUAUCCAAGGCGACGGCUUCAAGUCCCUGGCCGAAGGCCAGGCUGUGAAGUUCGACGUUGAGCAAGGUCCCAAGGGCCCGCAAGCUGCGAACGUUGUGCGUCUGUAAUUAACAGCGCGCAAUAAAAAACAGGACGCCAUGGCGUCCUGUUUUUG